GGGCGGUUAGCUCAGUUGGUAGAGCGCAUGGAUCACACCCAUGAGGUCACAGGUUCGAGUCCUGUACCGCCCACCC
rnacentral:tRNA from 1 species